rnacentral:tRNA from 1 species
UGGGGGUUAGUUAAAUGUUAUAAUAUUGGUCUGUCGGUCCAAGGUUGUAAGGAGGUCUUACACUUCCAU